GUGAGUGAAUGAAUAGUGGAACUGUAAAGCACUUUGAGGUUUCUCGAAAAGCGCUAUAUAAAUGCAAUCCAUUAUUAUUAAGUGUUAAUAUAAAGUAUGGUUUAUUAUUAACUACGUUAUCAUAUUUCCAGCUCAUCUUUGUUAGUAGCUAUUAUAUAAGCCACGCACUAACCAAACAGAGUGUUUGGUUAGUGCAUGGCAUGACAUGACUGUCGUUUUUUUUUUUUUUUUUCUAAAGCAAAUAUCUUAGUGCACUGAACAUGACAACAGCUAGUAGACUGCAGUCAACUACAGUCAAAUGCCUCACAGGGGGCAGAUCUCGAUUUUGAGAAAAACCCAAACCUUAGAGGAACAUUUUCAGCACCUUGUUGAAUUCAUGAAGAAUUAAGAAGAAUUGCUACUUCCUGGUCCAACCCCAAACUGCCUGGACAAAGGCUGAGAGAGGAGGAUAGAGAUGCAGAGAAGGAGAGACAGCAAAGAAAAAAGAAACAGGGAUGAGAGCAGUUUGUGUCCUCAGUACCUCAGCCACAUCACAUCAACGCGAUUAUCAGUGUUCAACGCGACUCCUGUCAGUGCCUGUCCUCCCACUCAUACUCGCAGAUAUCCGAUCAGAUGCUUGCUGUCACCGGGGAUUCAACUGGAUUCUGCUGCCACCGGAAGGAUGGCCUGCCUAAUCACUGUGCCAUCCUGACACUCGCUGGCAAAGUUGAAAGCUUGCAGGAGGGCAACAGAUGGAUGCAGCUGUUUGUGCAUCACACAAUAGGAUACUGAAUACUGAAUGAUGAAAAAGCAUCUUUUCAUUUCACGUUUUCUGACAUACUGUAGUUUGUGUAGUUGUGUAUAUUUUUUACAGUGACAGUCAGACAUCUGGACUGCUAGUGUUAUUGUCCUUUCUGUGCUUUUUUGUUGUUGUUGUUGUUUUUUAAACAUUACUAAAGACAUCAAAACUGUGCGUCUGAUAGCAGCUUUGCAGAUUCUUGGCUUUCCCUCAACCAGCUUCUUGAGGUCGUUUCCUGGAGCUUUCCCGACAGUCUUAAAGGAAUUCACACUUAAUGGUGAGGACUUGUUGGCUAAAUAAAAUGUCAACAGUGUCACCAGGAAAGACCAUCACACCUCCUUUUGCACUGGGAAUCGCACAUGCCGAUACCAUCUGUUCACCCAGCAGUUAAAAUAUGACCUUCAACAUCUGUUUCCUCUUUUUCCAAAUCCAAAGUGCCACUGUUGAGUCUGAUGUGAGGGUAUGAUUGCAGGAAAAAACUGGCACAUCAGCUUACAGGUUGAAUUUCAAACCACUGAUUGAAAUAGUUUUCAAAUUAAAAGUUCACAUACAAUCUUCCCUGAUAAAUGCAGAUGUUUCUGUAUCUACUUUUAGGAAAAUCUGACAUUUUUGUCUGACAUUCAUGGAAAUAUAGAAAAUCUCACAAAUUUAAAAAAAAUGCAUUUUGCAUCUAUGUAUUCAUUACUGACAUAUAGUCACAGUUACUGGGGUUUUCAAUGUAUAUUCAAUUUAAAUUUAAAUCUUUCAAUCGAUUCCAUUUGCAGACUCAUAAAUAAUGUUGUGAAAUCAUAACUUGGAACAUGUUAUGGUAUAAACAUUACAUAAUUUUCUCUUUUUAUUUUUAUAAUUGUAAUUUUAUUAUACUGUCUGAAAAAAUUCUUUCUUGUAAAUUGAGUGCUUAAAUAAAGAUUAAAUAAAAUAAAAUAAAAAAAAAUUAACAAUAUUCAGCUUUGGUGUGAGUUUUAUGUGGGCCCUGUGAUGGACUGGCUGUCUGGGUCCAGUGUGCACUCCACCUGCGGGAUACACCAGAACUCUCUGAACCCUGAAAUGGACAAGUGAUUAAGAAAAUGACUGGCUGGGCAGCUGAGUGCAUGGAUGGACAGACGGAUGGAGACUUUGGUAGAUUUUCAAAUGUGAAAUUUAAUGGCUUUGGACUUUUUCAUACUGACAUUUCACAUAGACAUAAGACACCAUCUAAUUGCUGAAGAUCAGCAAAAAUUAGCUUCAGUGGGAGUCUAAAAGAGUUAGGACUCACUGUCUGUCCACUACAUUCUCACACAUACAUGCGCUCAUGCAUGUCAGAAUUCUCGACACUGCUGCUGAAAAGACAAAAAGCUUAUUUCUUGAGGUAUAGUAUAAUAUUUUGGCAAAAUACUUUCCAUUUAUUUAUACAAGGAAUGGAUUUAGACAUAUGACUAUCUAAUGCUUUAGUCUGCGUAGUGUAAAUGUCACCUGCUUAUAUGGUCUUGCUCUGUCAAGCUCUGGCACUCGGCCCAGAGUCCACUCCAGCUUUAUCUAUAAACACGACCUAAUGAUCCACUACGCGCACGUGUGUGUGCGCGCGCAGACAUUGUAAUCAAUGUACCGUAUCCAUCUAGUAGCGGUCUUGCUAAAAUUAGUGUCAUCUGCUUACCAAGUCUAAUUCUAGCAUGAGUAAUAGUCAUCAAGUUAACGUCUUCUGAUACCUGUCACAGCAUCUGGAAUGUGUCAGGUUCAUUUCGGCCUCAGAGGAACACCAAACAGAAAGUAUGCUUUGAGCUUGGGGCUUUGGUUUGUCUAAUAUGUUCUGAGAAAGGUUGGACGCACUUACAGGGACCUUUUAUGCUUUUCCAUCAGAAUUUCAUAUUAAAUUGAAACAUGUUAAAAGGAAUUCCUGUGAGCCAAGAGUUCAGGCUUUCGAUUUGAACCUUUCUUGUUUACACGGUCACAUAAAGUCAGACUUUGACUUAUAAGAUCACACGGAUAACUUCCAAUAAUAUGAACAGAGCAAGUGCUGUUAAAAACAGUUUUAUUGGAACUUAAUGAAAACAUUUACGCUGAAACGUAUUGUUAUUGUUGGCAGUUAACCAGUUAAUGGAAUUCUUAUGCUUACACCCUAGCAUAUCUCUAAGAGAGAUUACCUGUGAGGGUGGGUGACCUACGGCUAUUGUGGAUAAACAAAGAUAAACAAAGACCACAAAAAAAACCCAUUAUACACCACAAAUAAAUCAGAGGCCAGCAGCAGAUGCUGUGAGAUUAAUUCUUACUGCAAAACAGCUCGUAUUCUUCAUCUGUAGUACUCCCACUUUCUCUAACAAAUGGGCCUGAUUUUGCAUUUUCUCCCACUGCUGUUUAUCAUGAAAUGUAGCGCUUUUUAAAGCUCCAAAUAUAAAUCACUGGUCCGCUGUUUAGCAUUGUAGUACUACUUGUUUACUGCGGCCGGUCCGUGUUCUGGGCUCUCCCUGUGUGCGGAGAUGGGGACUGACAGAGAUGGGGCCUGACUGAUCUCUGGCACAUGAGCUGUAGCUAAUCUCUGAAACACAGUGGGUUCAUUACAGUACAUUUAGAUGCUAUAACAGUAGAUUGCUGUUGUUGUCAGAGCCUCGGGCCUUCCACUGGGCAGCCAUGGCGCCACUAAUGAUAGCUUAAUAGCUUUUUAAUGUUGCAGCUUGCACCUCAUGUUUGGUCAUGUGCCGAGUGGCAAAUCAGCAAAAGAAUGUGUGUGAGAUUGUAGAUGUGACAGGCCGGGUUUGGGAGUGAGGGCUUGAGUGUCUUUAUACACAAAUGCAUUUUAAUUCCUGUUUGCAUGUUGCUACAGUGUCCUCUCACUAAUUUUAUCAGACACGGGCAGGCACGCUGCAGCGCACUCAAGAAAACAUCACCUCCAAUCCAGCAGCCAGUGAGGAACUUUAUCUGUAUUCUGCCCUCAGCCUGAGGGACACACGCACACUACAUGACUGGCGUUUGACACAGACCUCCUACAUCGAGCUUACUCGCUCACUCACUUUCAAUCUCUUAAAAAAACAGUCUUUUAAUCCUGAGGGAGAGUGCUGACACCCACACUGCUUACUGAUUGAUGCACAAGCAUAUGUAUGAGUAUGAAUGUGAGAAGUAGAAUUUUUUUCGCUGUAGCAACAGAUUUUAUUUCAUCUCUGGCUCUUUCUUUCAUCCCAUCCCUGGAUACUCGAUGAAUAUUUUCCAUUUCAACAAGUGCCUGACUUCAACAAGUUUCUUACUGCUCGUGAAACCGCUCGAGCUCUCGAUUCAUACUGCCCUCGGCUGAAGCACACUUGCAUUUUUAAACCUCUGAAAGUGCAUAUUGCAGCAAAAGUGUGUCCGUGCACCUUAUAAAAAAUUAUUAAUAAACUGGCCAUAGGCUACAGGACCACAGACAGAAAUUUAGAUCGGUUCCAGGGCACUAGGUAGGCCUGAAUGGUCACACUAAAUUAAUUCAAUCAAUAAUUUUUAACAACAGUCCAUUUUCUGCUUUACAACACUUUCCCAACCCACUAACUGCAAGCAUGUGUGUGCCCGUGCAUACUGCAUAAAGAUAAUCAAAAAAUACACAAAUCCUCAACUCCUUGGGCACCUCUGCAUCACUUCAGCUGCUGCAGCUACUUUAAAUCACUUCCUUUAAUUCCUGCUCUGGAUUCUUCAAGUUAAGAUGCAUAAUAGAUCUAAUCCAUUGUAUCAAAACAGCAACCCUUUGAUUUGCCCUUUUCAUGACCAGCAAGCUACUGGUCAUGCUCCGCUCCUGAUGUGCUACCUCUGGGUUUUGUGCAGACUCUUUCACUGCUGUUUGCUUUCUGGGUUUUUUUCCAGACACCAGAUUCUCAUCAGUAGCAAAAAUAUUUACAUGAAUCACUUUCAGGCAGAACUUGAUGUUUGUUCUCUGCACAGUUUUGAGGUCCUCCAGGGUUUGUCCUAAAAGUAGCAGGAAAGGUGGAGGCAGUGUAGAUGUCCACAUGGAGACAACUUUGAAGGAGAUUUUGGCCUAAAUGUUUGGCUGCUAUCGCCUGUGAGGAAGAUUGCAUUCAAAACUUGUCCCCUGCUUCCUUCAAAGAUUUUUAAUCUGUGUCCAGUAAAAUGAAAUGCAUAAAAAAUAAAGACUGAAAUAGUAAAUAUAAACCCUCAACAGAGUUUGAGGAAUUUGUAAGUUAAGUUUCAAUAACAGAUGCAAGGGUGUACUAAAUCAAAGAUAUUCUCCUGAUAAAGGUUGUUAAACUGCUCCCAGAAAUCCAGUUAAAACUGCAGUCUGGGAUUUGCGUGGUUUAUUUUACACAUCUGCUACAGAGUAUCGACAGAAAGCUUUCAAGCAGUUUAGCAGUUGUUUGGUCCUGAAGGAGUUUUAGGGAUCCAGCUGCAACCUGACAAUUUGUGUUCAUCUAACCCUCAGUAAAGUCCUCUAAAUAUAGCUGAAGUUGCCUCACAACCAAUACCGACCUUGUCAUGUUGCCCACAGCUUCUUUAGACCAUCUAAAGAUGCUGUAAUAAAACAUUUAACAAUAAAUAGACAGCAGAUCACAUUUUUUUACUGUUCUAUUAAUAUAAAUGUUAAUGUAAAGUAAUAGCAAUGCGUGUGUAUGAGUGUGUGUAUGUGUGUGGGUGGUUGGGUGUGUAGCAGUGUUGCUGCUACUUUGAGUCAGCAAGUAAAGACACACCAAAUCUGCGAGGAGUUGACAGGCACAUAAAAGCAUUUAUGAUGACAGCAUGUAGAGGAUAUUAAAUAUGCAUCUGCUUCUGCCUCAUUAACACUCUGAGCCACAAACACGCACACUUUUGCACUCCUGCUUUGUGAUCAACAACACUUUGCUAAUAUGGAGAGAAUGGCAGUAUCAAUAUUUAGCUAGAGGGACAAAGACUAGGUAGAGACACAUUGUCCAGUCAUUAUAAACUGUGACAGUUAUUACACAAACCCACUUAACCCACUUCCUAAGUUUGACAUCAUCUGGGUCCAAACUCUUCUUCAGUUUCCAAACUCAAUC